GCAGCAGGAGCGAAACCUUUACACUGCACGCCAGUGCGAUAAGGGAAUCCCAAGUGCGCAGGCAUAGAGCCUGCGCUUUUGUUCACCGUAGGGAGGUGAACGAAUAAGGGCUGGGCAAGACCGGUGCCAGCCGCCGCGGUAAUACCGGCAGCCCGAGUGAUGGCCGAUCUUAUUGGGCCUAAAGCGUCCGUAGCUGGCCGCACAAGUCCAUCGGGAAAUCCACCUGCCCAACAGGGUGGACGUCCGGUAGAAACUGUGUGGCUUGGGACCGGAAGGCGCGACGGGUACGUCCGGGGUAGGAGUGAAAUCCCGUAAUCCUGGACGGACCGCCGAUGGCGAAAGCACGUCGCGAGNACGGAUCCGACAGUGAGGGACGAAAGCCAGGGUCUCGAACCGGAUUAGAUACCCGGGUAGUCCUGGCCGUAAACAAUGUCUGUUAGGUGUGGCUCCCACUACGAGUGGGUGCUGUGCCGUAGGGAAGCCGCUAAACAGACCGCCUGGGAAGUACGUCCGCAAGGAUGAAACUUAAAGGAAUUGGCGGGGGAGCACUACAACCGGAGGAGCCUGCGGUUUAAUUGGACUCAACGCCGGACAUCUCACCAGCAUCGACUGUAGUAAUGACGAUCAGGUUGAUGACCUUAUCCGAGUUUCAGAGAGGAGGUGCAUGGCCGCCGUCAGCUCGUACCGUGAGGCGUCCUGUUAAGUCAGGCAACGAGCGAGACCCGCAUCCUUACUUGCCAGCAGCACUGCGAAGUGGCUGGGGACAGUAGGGAGACCGCCGUGGCCAACACGGAGGAAGGAACGGGCAACGGUAGGUCAGUAUGCCCCGAAUGUGCUGGGCAACACGCGGGCUACAAUGGUCGAGACAAAGGGUUCCUACUCCGAAAGGAGACGGUAAUCUCAGAAACUCGAUCGUAGUUCGGAUUGUGGGCUGCAACUCGCCCACAUGAAGCUGGAUUCGGUAGUAAUCGCGUGUCANAAGCGCGCGGUGAAUACGUCCCUGCUCCUUGCACACACCGCCCGUCAAAGCACCCGAGUGAGGUCCGGAUGAGGCACGUUACACGAGUCGAAUCUG
rnacentral:rRNA from 1 species